rnacentral:rRNA from 1 species
UACAGAGGAUGCAAGCGUUAUCCGGAAUGAUUGGGCGUAAAGCGUCUGUAGGUGGCUUUUUAAGUCCGCCGUCAAAUCCCAGGGCUCAACUCUGGACAGGCGGUGGAAACUACCAAGCUGGAGUACGGUAGGGGCAGGAGGGAAUUUCCGGGUGGAGCGGUGAAAUGACGCAGAUAGUCAGGAGGAACACCGGUGGCGAAGGCGGGUCUCU